UACUGAGCUUACCAAACUCCAAACCCAUGUGAACUUACCAAUGUUGCCUCGGCGGGAAGCCUACCCUGCAGCUACCCUGUAGCAACUACCCUGUAGUAGUUACCCUGUAACAGCUACCUGGUAGGCAGAUGGCGAGCCGCCAGAGGACCACUAAACUCUUGUUAUUUUGUCACUCUGAGUAUUAAAACAAAUAAGUUAAAACUUUCAACAACGGAUCUCUUGGUUCUGGCAUCGAUGAAGAACGCAGCGAAAUGCGAUAAGUAAUGUGAAUUGCAGAAUUCAGUGAAUCAUCGAAUCUUUGAACGCACAUUGCGCCCAUUAGUAUUCUAGUGGGCAUGCCUGUUCGAGCGUCAUUACGACCCUCAAGCCUUAGUUGCUUGGUAUUGGGAGCUUACCCUGUAGUAACUCCUCAAAGUCAGUGGCAGAGCUGUGGAACACUCUAAGCGUAGUAAUUCUUCUCGCUUCUGUAGUGGCCUCGGCGAUCGCCAUAAACCUAUUAUUUUUAAAGGUUGACCUUCGG
rnacentral:rRNA from 2 species